UACGUAGGGACCAAGCGUUGUUCGGAUUUACUGGGCGUAAAGGGCGCGUAGGCGGCAAUUCAAGUCAGCUGUGAAAUCUCCGGGCUUAACUCGGAACGGUCAGCUGAUACUGCUUUGCUAGAGUGCAGAAGGGGCAAUCGGAAUUCUUGGUGUAGCGGUGAAAUGCGUAGAUAUCAAGAGGAACACCUGAGGUGAAGACGGGUUGCUGGGCUGACACUGACGCUGAGGUGCGAAAGCGUGGGGAGCAAACAGG
rnacentral:rRNA from 1 species